AUGAUCUAAUUUAGUCGUUUAUAUUUCAAUAAUCAUUUGUUAAAAUAUGCCAUAUGCAUAUGGAUCUGAUUUUCCUUUUUAUGUCGGUGCGUCAUUAGCGUUAACCAAUAAAUUAACGACACGUGUGUAGCUAACAUAUUAAAGUUUCGAAAUAAAACUUUUAUUUAAAGACACUUGUUAAUAGUUUUAGAGUAACUUUGGUCAGAUAUGGACUACAGAAUAAGAGAAAUUAACAUAAUCCUAAAGUGUGGCUGUGGGAUAGUUUGCAAAUUUAUUUGCAUAUUGAUGGUGUUAAGAGAACAGAAAUAUGGUACGAACUUGAAAUACUCAAAUUUAUAUGAUGCGCUCAUGAUUGAACAUGAUGCGUUUCCGAUUGGACGUGAUGCGCAUACGGAUGAACAUUAUGCGCAUACGGUAUUAACUACACUCAGCAUUGGCAUUGAUAUUGUAGUUCCACUCGUAAUACACCUGCAAGACUCUAACACCAGGUAUCAAAGGGACAGAAUCACAUCAGGCGCAAUAGGAUUAAACUCACUUGGAUCAGCGUUGAAGAUUAUUGCAACCCUUGGAGAGAUCAUGAGGAAAAACGAUAUACCUCAAUUUUGCUGCGCAUGUGCACUAUUGGAACUAGCCUUUACCGCUGGGAUGGGAAUCUAUCACUUUAUCCUAGAUGAGUUCAAUAGAUGGUAGGAAGAAGAAGAGAGGAGCAAAAAAAAUCAGCUUUAACAAUAGACAAUGAACAUUGUACUCUAAAAUAUGAAAACUUUCAAUUCAAAGAUGUUUAAAUAAUACAGCAUAGAAACAACUCUGUAAAAAGGACACAACUCUCUGCGCAAACUAUCAUCAAAACAAUAUGAUCGGAAAUAUUUUCUUGAAAUACUGUACACCUAAGUGUAAAACACAUUUUUAUUUUUCUCAACGAACACCUAAGAUAAGGGAAGACAAAUAAGAUCAAAAGUUUUAAUCGAAAUAUUUCUUUUAUUAAUUUUCGCCUUAUAACAAGCUUGAUUUUAUAAGUAUUUCCCGAUGGUUUUGUAGAUUUAUGAAUAUUAAAUUUGAAUUUGUUACUAAAUCCAUUAAAUUGGGGAUGGGAAAGUGGUCAAAUUUAGUACGUGCGUGAAAACAAUUCUAUGUAUCUAAAAUGAUCGCUUCUCUCUUCUUCAUAUCACUUUAUGUGUGGUAAACAUGGACUUACGUAUAUCUUAUAUACUCCAACUUACUAAUUCUUCAAUCAUGCAUACUUUUAUUUCAAAUACUGAUAACAUAUAGCAUAAAAUGAUAACAACUGCAUGAUUGACAUCAUAAUAACAAAAAUUAGUGACUAAAAGGGAAAAAAAUGUCAGGAGUUCCUUCCCCUUACAUUGCGUUAUGGUUUGAUUGAAAAAAGAAAAAGAAGUCUUACAAUCAGAAAAGCGACCCACAUGUUUUGUUUUGCCUGGAAUUGUUGCUCCUUUUGUAAAUUGCUGUUGUUGUUUUUUUCUGCUUUAAUUUUGUUCGAUCAAUUUGUAUUUGCAAAACAUAAUGUGCAAAAUCAUACAUUUAAUAUUGAGAAUUAUGACGAUUAUAUGGUUUAUUGUAGUGUAACUUAGUUUCUUUUGUUUCAUUUAUGCUUGGCAUCGGAAUUAACCAUACGCCCGAGAUACAUCACCGUCCUUACCGGCCACGUUGGGGACGUCUAUUUCACGCUGCCGAUCUGUAAGAUGUUCUGCGUUUGAAGACACCAAUCUAGCCAAGCAGGUAUAUUUGGUACCGAAUUGAAGUACACGAUGCCUACUGGAUUUAGUAUGGUCUGUGAUGUAGCUGCUCUCGUUAUACUAAAAGAUCGAAAAAUCUCUGGUGCCAUAGGAUUGAUCUUUAUUGGAUCCGUUUGGAAUGUUUAUGCAACGUUUGGACUGAUCACUGAAACAGGAUAUAUAUCUAUGUUUUGCUUCAUGGAGCUUGCUUUUGCUCUUAUAAUGGGAUACUAUCACUGUUUUCUACACGUGGAAACGAAUAAAACCUCGUAGGAAGAAGAACAAUACAUUCAACCUUAAAGGGACUCCACUGAGGUUUUUUGACAUGAUGGGACUGAGACAAUUUUUUCCAGAUAAAUAUAGCAUUUGAUGUAGGUUUAGACCACUAAUCUUUGUGCAAAAUUUCAGAUCAUUCGCGCACUUCGUUUUUCCAGAAUUACUAUUCAAAUUGUAAACAAAAUGAACCAAAAUGAAAAGCGUUUAAACGCUUUUCACUCAAAUCGGGCUAAGAAAAACAUAAAAAUAAGGUUUUCAAUUUAUUUCAAAAUAUAUUUCUUAACUAUCUUUGGAUAUAUUUCUGCUUAAAGUGCCCCAGCUGAUUUUUGUAAACAAUUCAAAUGUUAUGUUGUUAGGCUUUUAAACCUCAGUGGAGUCCCUUUAAAAAUAUACAAUGGUCAAAGUACUUAAAACGUUCUUCUAAAAGAGGUUUAAAUGACAACACUAUAAAAGGGACACAACUCUUCGUGAUCUAUCAAAACAAUUAGAUCCGAACUAUUUUCUUGAAAUACUGUGCACACAUUGAUUAUUUUUCUCAACGGACACUAAGAUAUGGGAAGACAAAUUAUAUCAAAAGUCUUAUCUAAAUUAAUGUUCUUAUCAAAUAUAUUAAAAACCGGACAUGAACCUGUUUAACAGAUACAUAUGUGUGGUUGUUUCCGGUUAUAUACAAACGAGGGAUAAAAUUAACAUGUACUUGUGGAUAUACAGGACAAUAUUGUUUGUUUAGUUUUUGUAACCCGUAUAAAAACAUAAAUUUUCCUCAGUUUCACGUCCGUUGUUUUUACACAGCCAAACUUCCAACAACAAACAUUAUAAAAGACUCGAUCAAAUACAUUGAACUAUAUGAACUGGCUACUGUCGACGGAAUU